rnacentral:rRNA from 1 species
UGUUGCAGUUAAAAAGCUCGUAGUUGGAUUUCUAGCCGACUUGCUUGUGUCCGCGUCUCUUAUGAGCGUGAGUACCGAUGCGUGUCGUCUAUCCUAUCAGUUUCUCGGGCUUCGGUCCGUUUGACUGGUUCUUUUACUUUGAAAAAAUUAGAGUGUUUAAAGCAGGCUUGCGCAAUGAAUACAUUAGCAUGGAAUAAUAACAUAGGACUUCGGUCUCUAUUUUGUUGGUUUCUAGAACUGAAGUAAUGAUUGAUAGGGAUAGUUGGGGGUGCUGGUAUUCAGCGGCCAGAGGUGAAAUUCUCGGAUUCGCUGAAGACUAACUUAUGCGAAAGCAUUCACCAAGGAUGUCUUCUUUAAUCAAGAACGAAAGUUGGGGGAUCGAAGACGAUCAGAUACCGUCGUAGUCUCAACCAUAAACUAUACCGACUAAGGAUGAGUGACCGUUGCUUUUUCGACUUCAUUCGCACUUUAUGAGAAAUCAAAGUCUUUGGGUUCCGGGGGGAGUAUGGUCGCAAGGCUGAAACUUAAAGGAAUU